rnacentral:rRNA from 1 species
UAAUACGGAGGGUGCAAGCGUUAAUCGGAAUUACUGGGCGUAAAGCGCACGCAGGCGGUUUGGUCAGUCAGAUGUGAAAGCCCUGGGCUCAACCUGGGAAUUGCAUAUGAUACUGCCGAACUAGAGUAUGGUAGAGGGUGGUGGAAUUCCAGGUGUAGCGGUGAAAUGCGUAGAGAUCUGGAGGAACAUCAGUGGCGAAGGCGGCCACCUGGACCAAUACUGACGCUGAGGUGCGAAAGCGUGGGUAGCAAACAGGAUUAGAUACCCUGGUAGUCCACGCCGUAAACGAUGAUCACUCGUUGUUGGCAACACAUCGUCAGCGACUGAACGAAAGUAUUAAGUGAUCCACCUGGGGAGUACGAUCGCAAGGUUG